GAUGGCCCCGAAAUUACUCCCAAAAGAUUCCCCUACUGCACCUUCUAAUAGCAAUUGGAAAAGAACGAAACUAUUAGAAUCGGAAAGGAAGAAAAGGGAAAGGGCUCAACAACCUGGAGCUGGAUUUGGAGGAAGGGCAUUUGGUCUUUUGAACAAAAGGGAUGGAAUUUUGUCAAAAAGUGAAUCUCCAACAAAAAUACCUGCUAGAACACCUAAUCGGAAGUCUGUGACUUCUGUUUUGGAUGAAAGUGAAAAUCAGUUCCAAUCUAACGAAAUUGAAAUGGGGGACCAAGCUGAUCUUGUUGGUGACUUGAGUUUGACAGAAGGAGAGGAAGCAAUAAAAGCUUUCAGGAUAGAUAUUCUUUAGGAAAGAAUGAGAAAGCUUUGGGAGGAAAACGUCAUUGCAAAGCAGCUUCUACAAGGCCAGGCUGAAGUAAAAAAGAAAAACCAUGAAAAGUGGUCAGAACGUCAGAAGAGAAUUGACAAUGCAUGGGAUGCGAAAAGAGAAGAUUUGAUGGCUGCAUUUAUUAUACAUGAAGCUCCAGUAGAAUCACAACGCUGUCAUCAAUGGCGAAAGGCAGUCGCGAAUUGCAUACGAUGUUUAACAUGAAAGGAAGUGUUGUGCCCUAGUUGUGAUUUAAACCAUCACAUAACCAGGCCUUUUCACAAUCGUCAGUGCAUGAAACUGGACUCGUGUCUGCCACUAAAACCAACUCAGUUUUUGGAUGCUGACGGUGAAAUAUUAGAAAAACUUUUAGAUGUUCCUGUUCCGUUGUUCUGUCAGGAGGAAUGCUCCAACUGUGGAGAUAACGGGACCCUAAAAUGCCAGGCUGGUACUAAGUCGAUUGCGGUUAUCACUCGUGAUGGUAUUGAUUGAUUCAUUGGUGUACUUUUCUUUUUAUUUAUCUUAUAGAGUUGGCUAACGUCCGAAGUUGCCAGUUCGAUAAAAU
rnacentral:misc_RNA from 1 species